UGGUCUUAGCUUGCUAAGGCCGAUGGCGACCGGCGCACGGGUGAGUAACACGUAUCCAACCUGCCGAUGACUCGGGGAUAGCCUUUCGAAAGAAAGAUUAAUACCUGAUGGUAUGAUGAGAUUGCAUGAUAGCAUCAUUAAAGAUUUAUCGGUGUACGAUGGGGAUGCGUUCCAUUAGGUUGUUGGCGGGGUAACGGCCCACCUAGUCUUCGAUGGAUAGGGGUUCUGAGAGGAAGGUCCCCACAUUGGAACUGAGACACGGUCCAAACUCC
rnacentral:rRNA from 1 species